rnacentral:lncRNA from 1 species
AUCGCGCCGCUGCACUCCAGCCUGGGCAACAAGAGCAAAACCCCAUUUCAAAAAAAAAAAAAGAAUUUUCUAACUCGAACCAUCAUUUCCCACUAAAUCGAACUCAAGAAGAAAUGUCUUCCCCCCAAGCCAGGACACCUGGAAGCCUGGAAAUGUGUUCUUGUGUCCCAAGAGUUCGGCCUGUCACUGAGACCCCACUGCUCUGAGCAAGGUGUUCCUGUCCUCACUCUACAGAUGAGGAGCCUGAGGCUCAGAGCAGGAACAUGACAUGGUCAGUAUCCUCCCAGCUGGGUAGAAGGGGACUGGUUGCAUACCCAAGCCAGGGGCCCAGAGCUGGCCUCUGUGGCAUCUGUGCCAGAGCCAGAGGAAGGCCUGCGUCUACUCCCCAGGGAGCCCAACUGAGCCCACGGGUGGCACAUGAGGACUGGCCUCCUGGACAAACAGAGCCCAGCACAUUAAGGUUUGGCUCAGGAGGACACACAUGUCCCUGCUGCCCAGGACCCCAGUUCUGCCCUAAAUCCUUCCCAACUUGGGAUCCCCCCACUCAGGUUCCUGCUGCAGCUCAUGUUACCCUGGGUGCUUCUGUGACUCCGCUGAUGCUCUGAGCCCAUAUGGCCCCAGCUCAAGGCAGCUGAGAAGUCCCGAAAGACCACAGAGCAACAGAGGCACCCAAAGGUUCAAAGCCCAUCAGUCAUGAUUCACUUGCACAGUUCAGUGUGGCAUCAUCAAGCCCCUGGCUGGCCAACCCCUCUGGUUCCCUGCUUGGGUUCCCAACCACUUGGCUGCUCCUGACCCCGCCCAGCACCAAGACAUGAAGACACCACAGUGAUCAGGGCCAAGAGAGGCAACUUCACCUACUGGGCCUACCCUGUGUCCCCGCUCUGUUCUUUUCCUCUAGGAGAAAUGUGCCUCCACCCAAGCAACUGACCCCAGGAAUAAUCAUAAUUAAUAAUAGUGGCGACUUCCCUUUAUUAAGCACUUGCCAUGUGCCAAGAACUCUUCUAAGUACUUGAUACACAUUAUCUCAUUUAAUCCUCAAAACAAUCCUAUAGGGCUAGUACUAUUAUUAGCUGAUUUUACACGUGAGAGAAGUAAGCACAGAGAAGUCGAAUAACAAGCUCAAGGCCACAUAGCUAGAUAGGCAGGAAGCCAGAUUAUGAGCCCAGAUGGUCUGGUUCCAGAACCUGACCCCUUAAUGAAUACCCUAUAACCUGUGAGUGAAUCCAGUCCCCACCACUGGGUUCAUCCAUCCACUCAUUCAUUCAGUAAACAUUUAUUGAGCACCUACUCUGUGCCGAGGACUUUCCAUGCAUUGCCUCAUUACAAGUUUUAUCACCUGUGAGGUAGAUAUUACUGUCAUUCCCACUUUACAGAUGAGGCAACUGAUGUUCAGAGAGGUUAAGUACAUGCACAAAGACACACAGCCAGCAAAUUGUUCAGCAGGGCAGGAGGAUGCAAGUGCUCAGCCUUCAGAAGGUGGCAUGGGCCAAAAUAUAGUAGACCUGCUGUGCCCAGCCAGGAGGCCUGGGCUCUGCCCUGCUCACAGAUGAUCUCUCUAUUUGGCAGAGGAGGUGGAGUGGCCGCAGAGGGCUGAAAUGACUUGCCCAGAGUCACCCAGCCAGAGAGUGGCAGAACCAGGACUCCAACCCAGGCUGUUGGGCCCCAUCUAAACCCUGUCUGCAUGGGAAGGGAUUUUUAGCAGAGAAGGGCUGCAAUCAGCUUAUGGGCAUGCAGGGGUGGUCCGGUGGGGGAGAUCCUGAGAAGGAUAAGGCCUUCCCAAGCCCACAUCUACUGACUGUUCACUGUGUGCCAGCCCCUUUUGAUCAGUGCAUCUAUUUCUCCAAAUGCCCUGUGACAUAGACUGUCAGCAGCUCCAUUUUACAAGUGUAGAAGCUGAGGCACAGAGAGGACAUAUAACCCUUAAGGUCACUCAGUUAGUAAGUAGCCAAGCCAGGAUUUCAGCCUGGGUUCUUAAGUGCCACCCAAUCCAUUAUUCCAGUUUUUCUUC